CUUGUAUUUGAAGGAGCUGAAGGCCAGGACAACAAAGCAUGCACGGACUUGGCCUAUGCAGAUAUCACUACUUUCCAUAGAAGAGACGGUGGGACAGUGCAGCUCGGGGUUCAGCCUGACGCAUCAGAAUAUGCCCAGAUCAGAGAGAACGACCGUCCUCCAGAUGCCUCCUCCCGUCCCACCUACGAUGACCACCUGCAGCGAAAGAAGAACCAGGCUCCUCAGCCUCCUUCUAACAUCUCACAGCUUUACGCUGAGAUUAAAAAGAACUGACCUUACUGGAAGUGACGGGUUAUAUGGAGGCCACAAGCGUCUGAUAUGUGGUCAUGAAACACUCCCCUCUCAGUUUUUAUAGAGGACUCAUUCUGAACUGUGUUUACCAUGUCGAUGCACUUUAGCGGUGGUUAAUAAUUGCACCAGGUUAUGACAGUCGUUGCCAUAACUGAUGUCAGGCGCCACAAUGUUCGCCUGUAAGUUUGCAUCUGACAUAAUAGCUUUUCUUUGUUUGUUUGUUGGUGUCAAUGCUUGAUUCCACACGGGUUUUGGAUUUGUUUUCACAUAUAUUACGCAUUUUAGAAAAACUAAACAUUGUUGACAAUAUGUAAUUUACCUUUCAGUGGUUUCUAUCGGGUUAUUGACACACCUUGAGUUUGUUAAUUUGUCUGUGCGAAAGUGAACUAUAAUGACCUUCACAUAAAAGGUUUAUGGUGGUUCAAAGGAACAGUUGAAAGAUGAAUAGACAAAUACAUAUUUGUAAUCGAAUUAGUAGUGAAAGUUGCAGCAGUAUGCAAUAUGUUUUUUUUUCCAGUUCUACUUGAGAAAUAGAAGAAACACUAGUUCAUCAAAUUCAAAAGAAAACACCUGAACAGUUAUAUCCUUGAUAUCCAGGACAAUAAUAACAACAAUGACCGUAAUUCUUACGAAAGGCAAAUGGAAGCUAUUUCCAGUCAGAAAUAUCUGGGAUCAUCAGAGUAAUUUAGAUUACGCUUACCGUACAUGUCAAUAAAAAUUGCUCUUUGAACAAAUUAUAUGAUGCUUCAUACCUUCCACAAAGGCCUCAAGCCAACAGGGAAGUAGUUCAAUGAAGUAGACUUAAAUCCCACAUUACAAGUUGCUGAACAUAUCUGUGAUUCAAGGCAAUAGAGGCAGUGUGUCUGCACAUGGAAGGUUUCUUUUGUUGUAUAAAGAAGAAAACAGCGUUUGAUGGGUUCACUUUGAGGUUGAUAAAGUAGUUAUGUCUGAAAUAUCUCAUAAAAUAAUAAUAAUAACAAAAUCCAAUCCAAACAGUUGACAGUUGAACAAUCGGCUGUAACUCACUAUGGAGCUCGGUAAAAUCCAAGGGAGCCGAACAACACUGUUUUCACGUUGUUAUUUAAUAUAUUUAGUAUAUUAAUAGUGGUCACAUUUUCAUCCGUUACCACAACAAAUGCAUUCAAUUAAAAGUGUCUUUUUUUCUCAGUAAAUGUGCAUUUAUAGAGCAGGGCUUCAGAUGAAGCCAGAAAGACGAUGAAGCAUCUCAAGGUUAGCUGAUAAGUAAAUGACUGUUUGGUAGAUGUCCCCUCCCCCACUAGUUACUCAUUGGUGAAGCUGAAACUCCAUGUGAGCUGCACCCAUUUUGGAUUACAGCUGCAUAUUAGGGAAGGAUUUGUAAACUAAACAUUUCCCACUUCCAUCCCUGUAACACAAAGAUCUUUAACAAAAAAACAGAUUCUCUAAAAUCACAUGGUUUUGACUUGAAUCCAUUCAGAAACAUGUGAUUUUUGUGAUCCACUUGAUUUAGUGUUUGGAUUUUUGCCUUUUCAAAUAAAUAGUUUUACCAAACACGUUAACUUAAUAUUUGGUAUGUUUUAUAUUUGGUAAAGCUUUGGUAUGUUCACUGGUGGUUUAAGGAGGAAUGGUAAUUAUAUUUUGUAUAGUGAAUUGUGUUGUAUCAUGAUUUAGUAGUAUCAACUCUUUUGUUAUUCUUUUUUGUUUAACCUAACUGCAACGUUCAUUUACUGGCGUAUCAAACUGAACAUGUGAUUAACGUCUGACCUUAGAAAGAGACAUGUGAAUGUAACUACAGUUGUUUUUUUUAUAUAUAUUUUGCUCAUUUGGAUGAUUAAACUAUAAUAUAUUAACAA